rnacentral:rRNA from 1 species
CAGCAGCCGCGGUAAUACGAAGGGGGCUAGCGUUGUUCGGAAUUACUGGGCGUAAAGGGUGCGUAGGCGGCCUGUUAAGUCAGGGGUGAAAGACGGUAGCUUAACUAUCGCAGUGCCCUUGAUACUGAUGGGCUUGAAUGAACUAGAGGUAAGCGGAAUGUGACAAGUAGCGGUGAAAUGCAUAGAUAUGUCACAGAACACCAAUUGCGAAGGCAGCUUACUAUGGUUUUAUUGACACUGAGGCACGAAAGCGUGGGGAUCAAACAGGAUUAGAUACCCCAGUAGUCCCUGUCUCUUAUAC